GAAACAGAUCAACCAAAGUCAUUCAUUCUGCAAAUUCAAAUCAUUAAUGGAGAGAGUAUUUACAAAAGUAAUUUAACAAACAAGAUCAAGCACAUAAACCAGAGGAUCAACUGAUACGAACAAAUCAAAAUAGAGAUAGAGGUUGUAGACAUGCACCUCAACUUGAAUCCUUAAUUAAAAAACAAUAGCAGUGGUAAUACUAGGACAAAGCAAAGCAGCAGUUAUGACUGGAAUUCGACACAAUGAUCAAAUUACCAAUAGAAAACGCGAACCGAACCAUGCACAGACCUCGACAACAUCUGAAGCUCCGAACUCAAUGGCCUCUCAAUCAAUCUCCAUGAAUGAAAAAUCAAAGCAUAAAUUGAUUUCUUUUAUGAUUCGGCUGUUGAUCAUUCUCUUUAGGGAUAGCUGCAUACGUGGUCAAGAAAGGUUGGAAGAGUGAGAGCGAGGUGAGAGUGUCUUAUUGGUGCAACGACUGUAGGCAGAGAUGGGGAGAAGUUCGAAGAUGGCGUAGUGGUCGUCGGUUUCCAGUGAUAGUGUUGGUGGGGUGAAGAUGGAAAGGAGUUUGGGUGGCUGCAACAUGGUGAAAGGAGAUGGAGAAGGUUAUGGCGGCAGUGAUGUCUGGCGGCUAGUUGAUGGCGUGGUUAAGGUUAU
rnacentral:lncRNA from 1 species